UACGAAGGGGGCGAGCGUUGUUCGGAUUUACUGGGCGUAAAGGGCGCGUAGGCGGCGUGACAAGUCACUUGUGAAAUCUCCGGGCUUAACUCGGAACGGUCAAGUGAUACUGUCGUGCUAGAGUACAGAAGGGGCAACUGGAAUUCUCGGUGUAGCGGUGAAAUGCGUAGAUAUCGAGAGGAACACCUGCGGCGAAGGCGGGUUGCUGGGCUGAUACUGACGCUGAGGCGCGAAAGCCAGGGGAGCGAACGGG
rnacentral:rRNA from 1 species